rnacentral:lncRNA from 1 species
GCAAAAACCAAUAAUAUAUACAGAUUAUUCAUUUGUUGCAAUUUUAAAUCAAAUUUUCAUUCAUAUCGAUAAUCAAAUAAGAUGAUGGACAGCUGGGGGAAUAUCCAUAAACCAUGUUUCACUAUUUCAAAUGCUUUUUGAGCUCCCCUCUCCUCUUUGCAAUUUUUUGUCACACUAUGCUUAAUCCCUUUGACUGUGGUGUUAUAAAUUUAAAGACACUUCACUUGUUACUUAAUUUUUUUUCUUUGAUUUUAUGUAAAAAUAAAGAAAGAUAUAAAAUAGUAGAAAAUAGAAAUUAUACUCCUUACUUUAUUAAACAUA